rnacentral:lncRNA from 1 species
AAGGGACAAUGGAUAAGUAAGUGCUUGAAUAUAAAGUUUUAAAAUUAAAUUUUGAUCAAAAAUUGAUUUCUCUUUAGAUAAGCUAGAGAUAAAAUUAUUAAACAUACAAACUUUUAAAUCUGUAUACUUUAUUAUAUUUUAAGAUACUUUUGAAGAACUAAAUUAGAAAAUUUCCAUGGAUAUUAUAUUUUUUGAAAUCCAAAAAACAAAUAUUUAAUGACCACUUUUAUUAAAAUUAUUUUUUAUAAUACAGUACUUCACACUUUAAAAUAUGAUACGGUAUAAUAAUCUUUAUACGAUAAUUUAAUUAUAAGCUUAAUUAUAUUUCUUUUGUAUAAAUUGGAUAUUCUCAUGUUAUGUUUGGUUAUUCGAACUAUUUUAUUAACCGAACAACCUUAGAAUGAUCGACGCUCUACUAUAUAUGCAUACAUAGAUACACACACGUUUAAAUGAAUCAGUUUAUAACAAUUAUUAUCAGUUUAGUGAUAAAAUAAUAUUGGAUUAUAUCAAAGAUUAAGUCCAUCAUUUAUGUAUAUUCACAAGACAGCCUAAUAAUUCGUCACUGGACGUUAGUUUAAAAGUUCUUAAGUAGUACGCAGAUGGUAGUAUGUAGAAUCAAAUUCUGCUUACGUAUAAGGUAUACUCUCGUUUAUGCUUCUGUUCGAUAGCCCGUUAGAUCGAGACUGAUCCUAUGAAGGAGUCAGCUGAAUGGUCGCAUGGUAAAGCUUACAACUUGUAGGAUCUGUUGGCCUGGUAGCCGUGGUGGAAGUGAGCUGUUCUUCCAGUCUGGAGAAUCCGGGUUCAAUUCCCGGGUCCCAUAUUUCCCAAUUUUUUUCAGGAUAGAUACAGGCCCAGCGAUUGAAUCCAUCCUCCACUUGACGGCUGACAUAAUUAGGAAUGUGAGUGGCUGAUGAUGGCUGCCGCCAAAUAUAUAGCCUAUCCCUAGUGUAAUUCGGAUAUAUAAUUCAAAUUAAUCUAAAUCUAACCAAUAUUAUGGAACAUGUCGGAAUAUUUCAGAUCUGUGAAAAUAAACAUGCAUGUGAAUAUGUAUCGCAAAUAUAGUGAUCCGCAUCAAAAUAGUUUAUUAGUGAAUUUUAUCAUCAUCUAUAGUUUUACGCUUCUUUCCAACAAGAGAUUAUUAAACAGCAAGGUAUUUCAAUGCCCACUAUGGAGCGGCCAAAACUCUGAUGAGAUCGGCUGUCAGGUGAAACCAGAAUCCUUUCUAAAAUAAGUUCUGGAGGUGUAGGAUCCGGUCAUACCUCACUCCAGAACCUAUCACUCGAAUCCUUCAGAUUGUAAGGCAACACUUUACCAUGUGGCAUCGAGCCGAUUAAAUUGUAUCAACAAUAGGAAAACAUCAGUAACAAUCAACAGCAUCAGGAAAACGAUAUUGUAUGGAGAAAGUUAGAGCGAUGCUCAGAUGAUGUCAUUUCUUGUAUCUGAACCAAUUGAACAAACUGUUUUAUUGAUGGUAGCUUAAUCAUUAUGGCAGCACCGGACAUAAUAAUGUUGCAUAAUCUACUUUUGGAAAUACGAGUUAUUUUUACAGAAAGUAUAUACAGUAUAUAAUUCAUCUGAUUGAGAGAAUUUCGUGCCGUUUCAGAUUCAAUAAAAUUAGCUUUAGUCUACGCCAACCAGAGUAAUAGUAUCAGUUAUUAUACCUCACAUCCUUCUUGGACCAUUCUGAUACUUCUAUUGAACGACAAUUGGAAUAAUACUAGCCUAUCGUCGUCCUAGUUACCUCUAUUGUUGGCUUUUUGUCAUUCUUAAUUAUAUAAAUUGUAAAGGCGAACAACAAAAAUACAAUAAUUGAAUCAUGUUAUAUAAUAGAAAAUGCAGAAAAUAUAAAACUCGAAUAUAUAAAUUGAUGAAAAACAACGCGUUAAUUAUGACAAUUCCUAAAAAUAAAAUUUUGCAUCAGCGUUUUCCAAACUUUAAA